rnacentral:rRNA from 1 species
CCUUUCGGGUGGGGAAUAUCAACCGGAAACGGCUGUUAAUACCGCAUAAUGCAGCGGCAUCUAUGAUGACAGUUGUUAAAGCGGGGAUCGCAAGACCUCGUGCCUGAAGAGAAGCUCGCGGCAGAUUAGCUUGUUGGUAGGGUAAUGGCCUACCAAGGCAACGAUCUGUAACCGGCCUGAGAGGGCGGUCGGUCACACUGACACUGAUAUACGGGUCAG